CAUCGACCCUGUCAUCCCGAAAACACGUUCAUGCAUACACGGGUUUCCCGUUUACCAACAAAACUAGAUGCGCGCGCAGAAGACGCUUGGUGGCCGUCGCCGUCCACAAGUUAUAAACCUAAAUAGUCGGCUGUUGUAAGCUACAAUCGGAUUUUUUUGUAUACCCCCCAGAUAGCAAGCAUAGUCGGCCCGAUUCUGUCUGAGUGCUGGCAGUGUCGGCUGAGGUCCGAGUCGGCUGAAGCACAGUAAACACAGUCGGCCCGAUCCUGGCUGAGUGCUGCCACUGUCGGCGGAGUUUCAGGUCGGCUGAGGCACUGUCCCCUUGAAUGGGCCGACACUGACACGCAGUAGUUGGGCUGAUUACUGAGUGUCUUAUUUGGCCCGAUUGGGGUUUGAUGGGCUACUGCCAGUUUUCGAAUCAAUCUCGGCAGACGGAUUUCAUACAGUGUGUGGCCCGAUACUUCAGGAACGAACACUGAUCAGUAUCGAGGCUGUUGGCGGCAAAAAUGAAACAUUUAGCGACAGCCGGACGCUAAACGUACAUGGCCCAAUUCUGUGAAGUGACUGUCGGCCCAUUACAUGUGGAAGAGCCACGAGCAGAGCAACUGUUCAGUUUGAAACCAGCAGGACGGCGCGAAACUGUCUCGUUUUGGACACUGCCUGUGAAUCCAGGCCACACUGACCAGAGACCUGCCUGCACUCCUUUGGAUGAAGAAGCUACCUGUGUAUAAAUGUGUGAACCAUUUCUUGUGUUGGAAAAACAGGAGACCUGAAGAGCUCUUGAUGCUUUUGGUUUGCCUCAUCCAUUAUGUCAGCAAAGAACAGGAGUGGGCAGGAAACAUGCGCUGUUGAAAACAUGGCCAACCAACUGGAGCACCCACAAGGCUCUUGUGAAGGAAGUCCACAAGUGCUUCAGGAUGGAUGGAAAGAACUCUUUGAUCAACCCCCACAGAGAGCUGAGGUGGCUAUCUUUUGGAGACACCCC